rnacentral:rRNA from 1 species
UAUUGCACAAUGGGGGGAACCCUGAUGCAGCGACGCCGCCUGAGCGAUGAAGUAUUUCGGUANGUAAAGCUCUAUCAGCAGUGAANNCANNNANGGUACCUGACUAAGAAGCCCCGGCUAACUACGUGCCAGCAGCCGCGGUAAUACGUAGGGGGCAAGCGUUAUCCGGAUUUACUGGGUGUAAAGGGAGCGUAGACGGCUGUGCAAGCCAGAUGUGAAAGCCCGGGGCUCAACCCCGGGACUGCAUUUGGAACUGUGUGGCUGGAGUGUCGGAGAGGCAGGCGGAAUUCCUAGUGUAGCGGUGAAAUGCGUAGAUAUUAGGAGGAACACCAGUGGCGAAGGCGGCUUGCUGGACGAUGACUGACGUUGAGGCUCGAAAGCGUGGGGAGCC